UUUAAAUCAUACCAAUUGAACCGAGCCUUGUAGAAACACUAUCACCUACGCAUACCUCUGCUUCUUUUCAUUAACCUGCUAUCCUCUUUACAAAUGGGAUUCUUCACCCACUCCCUUCUUCUAGAUUAGCAAUGCCCUGUUAAGUAAACGAACACGAAAUUCAAAGGGAAACAGGAGCAAUCAUCAUUACCAGCUGCCGUGUUAAGCAUUGCGAAAACGCUCACGAUUCACAGAAAAAUCCAUGCUGUUCUUUGAAGGCAUUCAAGCCUUAAUAGCUAGCUGGAUGAAUGUUUAACUUCUAGGCCAGGCACUACUCUGUCCCAACAAUAAGCCCUGUACAUUGGGAAAGGUGCCGAGACAUGAACUUUGGUCUUCUCUGCAAUCCAUCUGGAGCAUUCACUGACAACAUCGACUUUGAAGUUGCACUGACCUGGCCAGCCCUGCCACUUACCAGGUUGGCUCUGUAUGGCUAAGCGUUUUCUCCUAAAAUCCCUUGAAAACUGUGAGAAGACCAUAAGAAGAUCAUAUCUUUAAUUCUAUUUCACAAGUCACACAAUAUUCCAAUCAAAUACAGAUGGUUGAGAAAAGUCAUCCAUCUUCCCUCCCCACCCUCCCACAGCCCCUCAACCACUGCCCUGAAACUUAUAUGCUGUUAUCCGCAGCUCCAUCUGGAGCAUCACAGCUACUGUCAACCCUGACGCUCUUUCUGAAAAAACACCGGAUGGACAUCAGAACUAUUUCUUUAAGGAUGUUACUGAGCCACACAGGAAAACUUGCCUUAUGAUUUUGAAUGCACGGAUCUGAUUUGACUAAACAUGAUAACUAGAGAAUCACCCAAUCUACUCCCAUUUUCAACUCUAAAUCAUCAGAGUGUCUCAAAUCCAAAGCACACACAGACCAGCCUGGCCAACACGGUGAAACUCCACCCCUACUAAAAGUAUAAAAAUUAUCCAGGUGUGGUGGCGGGCGCCUGUAAUCCAAGCUACUUGGGAGUCUGGAGGCAGGAGAAUCCCUUGAACCUGGGAGAUGGAGGUUGCAGUGAGCAGAGAUCACACCACCGCACUCUAGCCUGGGCCACAAAUCAACAACAACAACAACAACAAAAAACAAAGCGCACACAGAGACUGAGGUCCUCUUUGGCAUUGAGAAGAUGGCUAUGCAAGUCCCAACUAGCAAGUGCAAACUUCCCAGCUUCACUUCUGCCAGUGUCCCUUCACCCCUUCUCAACCCCACUGGGAGGCAGGAGGGUGCUUGACAAUAACAGCCUUGGCAUCACUCUGCCAGGGUGUAAUAGGAACUGUUACAAUUCUGAGAUUCUGUGUAAGCACUGGCCUUUCUGCCUAGAAUGCCUUCUCCUCUCUUUUUUAACUGCAUGCUCCUAUUUAUCUUUCAAAGCCCGGAAAAAAUAACACUGCACACGGGAAAUGCUCCCUUCCUACUGCAGUCAUUUAGAUGACUCUAUGCCAUUCCAUUCAUUUCUCUUUCCUACCACAGAAGUGCUUUGAGAUUUUGGAGUCAGACUGCUUGAACUUGAAUCCUGGCCCUCUCAUCAGAGACUUGACUUAUUUUAGGCAAGUUAUAUAACCAAUUUUACCUCAGUUCCUUACCCAUAAAAUGGGUCUAAUGAGAGUACCUACCACACAGAAUUUUGAUGAAAACUGAAUGAGAUGAAGGCCUUUAAGGCAGUGGUCCCCAACCCUGGGGACACAGACAGGUACCAUUUUGUGGCCUGUUAGGAACUGGGCCACACAGCAGGAGGUGAGCAGUGGGUGAGUGAGAUCAGCGUUAUUUACAGCUGCUCCCCAUUGCUCACCUUACUGCCUGAGCUCCACCUCCUGUCAGAUCAGCAGUGGCAUUAAAUUCUCAUAGCAGCACAAACCCUGUCAUGAACUGCACAUGCGAGGGAUCUAGGUUGUGCGCUCCUUAUGAGAAUCUAAUGCCUAAUGACCUGUCACCGUCUCCCAUCACCCCUAGAUGGGAGUGUCUAGUUGCAGGAAACAAGCUCAGGGCUUCCACUGAUUCUACAUUAUGGUGAGUUGUAUAAUUAUUUCAUUAUAUAAUACAAUGUAAUAAUAAUAGAAACACAGUGCACAACAAAUGUAAUGUGCUUGAAUCAUCCCCAAACCAUCCCAGUCCACGGUCUUCCACAUUUUGUCUUUUCACAAAAUUGUCUUCCACAAAACUGGUCCCUGGUGCCAAAAAGGCUUGGGACCACUGCUUUAAAGCCUUUGCAUAGUGCUUAGAAUUGAGGGGGAAAAAAAAAACAAAAACAAUGUAGCUAGUUGCUACAAUCACUAUAUUGGUGAGUUUCAAAAGGAAAAGAAUUCUGUCCCAUUUAUGCUUGAGCCUUGAGUUGCUAACCAAGCCUGACACAAAAUUACUGUUGAAGGGAUGUGUGAGUCCUAAUUGAAAUGAGGCCUCUUAAGGGAAUUGUGGACCAAACCCCAAGCAGGCAGAAAGCCGUAUCUUAAUUAUUGCAAGUAUUUCAGGCAAGGUGUGGAUGGCCAUUUGAAUUCAAGCAGACUAGGACCUGGGAUGAGAAAGAAGGUGUGUACGUGACUUGAUCUUUGAACUUUAGCUCACCAUCUGGAAGAAGGCUGAGUAUUCUCUGCACUCACAUAGUAGCUAAUGCCUACUCCCCAGCCACCCACAAUUCUUUCUGUAGGAAGGCUCGCUAGAAUACUUUGUGAUAUUGGAUAUUAGUUCCAUAUUCUACUGUGUAUCUUAGUUCAACCAAAUUGUAAUCAUCUGAUAUUUAUUUCUUUUAAUAUAAAUAUAAGUAUAUUAAGUCUUGG
rnacentral:lncRNA from 1 species